CGAGUAAAUUCAUCUAUCCAGCAUGUGCUGCUGCCUCUCAAAUGAUGAGAAAAAUCUUCUUUUUCAGCCUGGGCACGGUGGCUCACGCCUGUAAUCCCAGUUACAGGGAUCAUCUGGUGAUCUCAGUGAUAGAUAACACCAGCUCUUCAUGUGGAUGUCUAAGCUCAUAUCAGGUGUCUGAAAGAGGCAGAUUCUGAGGAUUUGGGUCAUGAUGGCUGCCAAAGCUUCUACUCCUGACUUAAAGGGCAACAAUCCUAGGAGACCACCAGCACUUACAUCCCUGGUAGGACAUGACACCUGCUUAUGGCUCAGAAGUGACAAAAGAGAAUUAUCAGGAUGGCAGUCCUUAUAACCAGAUGCUUAUCAACAUUCUUCACUACAUUCUGAAGAUGAAUUUCUACAAGGGAAAUUGUUUAUGGAGGCAGCAGAUGGCUGAAAUUCUGAUCCGAUGUGGCUGGUUAAUGCAUGAUCUGAAAACCCCUGCACUGGUGAUUUUGGGACAGAUCUAGAAUAUACCAAUAAAUAUAUUAACAUACCAAGUAGUGUAGGAGCAGCCACUGGGCAAACACCAAACUUUGCAUCCCUGGUGCUGUCUCUGAGCUCAGCAGAAGAGUUCGAUAAUGGUGGUACAAUGGCGCCCCCUCGUGACAGAAGCUUGAACUACAGCUUGAACAUCGAGAUGAAAAUAUACUGUCUACAUUGUUCAACACAAUAGCUAAUGGCAACUGUGGCAGUUGAACACCCGAAACGUGAUGAAUGUGACUGAGGAACUGAACUUUUAGUUUCAUUGUGACCUGGUGAAUGAAUUUAUUGAGCCCCAGGAAGAAGGAAUAUUAAAGAAGAGCAAAGAAUAGUAGCUGGACAGAAGAUGGGGGUCAUUGAACUUAUAUCCUAGUUGCCAGACCAGUAAACUGACCACGGGACCUGGGGGAGGCAGCAGAUGACCGACAACCUGGAGUGAUGUGGCUGAAUACCGCAUGAUCCGAAGACUCUGCACUGGUGGCUGCGGUAUGGGUCCAAAUUUUUCCUUAACGAAAAAAAAGAGCCCCAAACCAUACUGACCAGUCUAGGAACAGCCAUUAGGCAAACACAACUUUUUGCUACCCUGGUGUUACCGAUUUCUGAGCUCAACAAGUGAAUUCAAAGAUAUGCCUGUCUUUCCAGCAUGGGGAGCUGGAUUUGGGUCAGCUCAGGGGCAUGAUGUUGAACAGCUCUUAUGAGCUUCUGAUAGUGCCCAGGAAGUACAGAAACAACUGUCUACAAGUCUUUGAACUCAAGGCAUAUCACAGGGACAUUUGCAUUCUUCAACUAGAUAUCUGUUUUCUCAUAAAGAGAAACAAUGAGAAAUGAUUUUUCACAAUGCCUUAUUAGCCCUGAGGCUCAGCCAUCCCCUAGUGCUGUGUCCCAACAUUUAAAGGCCAUUGAAGUCCCACUCUAUGCCAUAUACUCUGGACAGGUUUUCUCAUUUACCCCUCAGGACAGCACUGUAAGGAUGGUGUGGUCAGUCCCAUUUCAUAGAUGACCAAACUCAGGCUUUCAGAGCCUAAGUCACUUCUCCAGAUAGGUGGUAGGAUUGAAAUGAGGUUCCAUCCCUCAUCAUCCAUAGACAGCCCUGAGUAGCCUCCCUUUUAGAAGAUGGGCUUCCAGGGCUUGAGAAAUGGUCAGAUUCCACCCCCUUGCUAUUGUGGACCAAUGCGUCCUCACUCCACAACCCCUCUGGGUGAUGAAUAAGAUAGAGAAGAUGAAAUCCCGCCAUUUAUGCCAAGAGACCUGGGUGUAGGGCCACAUAAGUUGGUUGCUUCUCGAAGUGGUGAGUGGGCUCAGGCAGAAGCUCAAGUGUUGGCCUUGGGACAGGUGAGCUGGAGAGAAGGAACACUAAACUACUGUAAGCAAAUGCACUUUAUAUUUCAUCUCCUUUAAUCUUAACUGCUAUUCAAGGUACCUAUCACUUUGACCAUUAUUCAAAUCAGGGUACUUUAGGAAAGUUUAUGUAAAGCAGGGAAUAAACUCUUUUCUCCAGAUCAGCAGCUAACUCUAGAAUUACUUUUAAGUAUUUUUAAGUAUUUUUCCAUUUUUGUCUUGAUAUCUCCAGGACUCUCAAUGCUUGAAUUUUUCUCAAAGCCAACAGUACACACGACCUAAGGUGUUCUUCACUAGUAUUUCUUUUUAAAUUACAAUCUAUAUAUAUCUUAUUCAUAUUAUUGAAGUUGAAAACACAUUCUAAAUGAAAAUAACACUAAGAAUUUCUAUAAAAUAACGGGGAAACAUUUUCAAACUACAUCUCAAAUGUUGGAUUAGUAUCCAUAAUUUAUAGGGCAAACUCAGUAACAAAACAUUUGGCAACUAAUUUUGACAUAGAAUUCCAAUAGAUAUAGACAUGAACAAUGAACCUGUUGAUUAUGCUAAAACUAUAAGAACUAAUAAGAUGCUAAUAUAAAUCCUCAGAAGAAUAUUAAGUGGAAAAGACAGCUUGCAAAAGGAGAUGAUUAAUGUGGUUGCACUUUUUGGCAAAGAUUAUAUGCAUGUGUAGGUGAACAUGGUCAUGUGCACCUCAUCCACAGAAACAUGUCUGGAAAGUAUGCACCAUUCUAUGGACAACAGACCUUUUGGGUCAGGAGGUAGGAGUUGAGCUAGUGAGAGGUGAAGAUUAAUUACAAUUCAUAUAUGUGCUUUUGUAUAUUGUCUGAAAUUUGGUAUUCAGGAAUAAAAGUAUUUUGAUGAA